GAUGAACGCUGGCGGCGUGCCUAAUACAUGCAAGUCGAGCGAAUGGAUUAAGAGCUUGCUCUUAUGAAGUUAGCGGCGGACGGGUGAGUAACACGUGGGUAACCUGCCCAUAAGACUGGGAUAACUCCGGGAAACCGGGGCUAAUACCGGACAAUAUUUUGAACUGCAUGGUUCAAAAUUGAAAGGCGGCUUCGGCUGUCACUUAUGGAUGGACCCGCGUCGCAUUAGCUAGUUGGUGAGGUAACGGCUCACCAAGGCAACGAUGCGUAGCCGACCUGAGAGGGUGAUCGGCCACACUGGGACUGAGACACGGCCCAGACUCCUACGGGAGGCAGCAGUAGGGAAUCUUCCGCAAUGGACGAAAGUCUGACGGAGCAACGCCGCGUGAGUGAUGAAGGCUUUCGGGUCGUAAAACUCUGUUGUUAGGGAAGAACAAGUGCUAGUUGAAUAAGCUGGCACCUUGACGGUACCUAACCAGAAAGCCACGGCUAACUACGAGCCAGCAGCCGCGGUAA
rnacentral:rRNA from 1 species